rnacentral:lncRNA from 1 species
GAAGAGGUAUAGGUCGGUGCACGGUAGGAGACGCAUUGGUGGUGGUGUUAGAAGAAGAAGGUCUACUUGAAGAAGAACCACCAAAAGAGGAAGAAGGCCCACUUGCCUAAAUUGUCUUGCUUGGACUUGGCUGGUCCUCUUUUCUCUAAGAUGUAGCAAGGUGAAGCUGGGGUGCAGGUGUAGCUGCAGGAGGUGGUACUGUGGGCACAACAAUUUGCUUCCCAGAUCUGAGGGCAAUGGCACUGGCAUUCUUCAGAUUCUGCACAGUCUGGGAUGGCUAUCUGAACUCGGAGAUUGUGCCUGAUUUAGCUGUGUAGCCAUCUGUCCCAUAUAAUUAGUCAAACUCUAAAUGGAAGUUAUUGUCUCCUACUAGAAUUUCAUAUUCUGAAUGGUUAUCUGCCUCACAAGCUCCUCUAAUGUAGGCUCAGAUGAAGUGAAAGGUUAAGGAGCGGGUUGGGCAAGUAUUUCUUGCUGUUGUUGUUGCCUCUGAUACUGCUGAACUAGUGGAGGCACAUAUGGCCUACUUGGACCUGGAACAUUCUGGAAAGGUGGUGGCUAUUGUGGUUGUUGCUGCUAAUGUUGGGGAGCAUUGGACCAUCUAAGAUAUGGGUGAUUCCUCCACCCUAGGUUGUACCUGUUGUUGGACAAGUCAUAAUUUUGCUGUUGUGGUUGCAUGUUAUUGUAGAUGUUUGCAGCAUAUGCUUGAGGUGCAUCAUGGCUAAUAGGUUGCUACAAUAAGAGACAAACAUCUAUAUAAUGAUCACUGGAAGGACAUAUAGCACAUAGUCGUGCAACAGAUGCAGAUGGAGGUGCUAGUCUUUGGUUACUGGCCAACUACGUCACCAAACUCACAAGAGCAUCAAGCUUACUCUCCAAUUUCUUAUCAGAGGAUGAUGAAGGGUGGGC